GCCGGGUGCAGUGGCGCGUGCCUGUAGUCCCAGCUACUCAGGAGGCUGAGGUGGGAGGAUCGCUUGAGCCCAGGAGGUCUAGGCCGUAGUGCGCUAUACCGACUGGGUGUCUGCACUAAGUUCGGCAUCGGUAUGGUGACCUCCUGGGAGUGGGGGACCACCAGGUUGCCUAAGGAGGGGUGAACCGGCCCAGGUCGGAAACGGAGCAGGUCAAAACUCCCGUGCUGAUCAGUAGUGGGAUUACGCCUGUGAAUAGCAACUGCACUCCAGCCUGGGCAACAUAGUGAGACCCCGUCUCU
rnacentral:SRP_RNA from 1 species